GGAGUCGACCGAAUGGCCGCAGCCGCGGAUCCGGUGGAUUGCGAGGUUGAGGAAAGUCCGGGCUCUAUAGGACGGAGUGCCAGGUAACACCUGGGGGACGCGAGUCCACGGAAAGUGCCACAGAAAAUAUACCGCCGGUAAUGAUCGGUAAGGGUGAAAAGGUGCGGUAAGAGCGCACCGCGCUGCUGGUAACAGUGGCGGCAGGGUAAACCCCACUCAGAGCAAAACCAAAUAGGAAGACAGGCAGUUUCGGCUGUAACGUGUGGUCCGCACGGUCUUCGGGUAGGUUGCUAGAGGCCUGUGGUGACACAGGUCCCAGAUGAAUGGCCAUUCUCGACAGAACCCGGCUUACAGGUCGACUCCCUCC
rnacentral:RNase_P_RNA from 1 species